GCCAGACUCCUACGGGAGGCAGCAGUGGGGGAUAUUGCACAAUGGGGGAAACCCUGAUGCAGCGACGCCGCGUGGGCGAAGAAGUAUUUCGGUAUGUAAAGCCCUAUCAGCAGGGAAGAAGAAAUGACGGUACCUGAGUAAGAAGCACCGGCUAAAUACGUGCCAGCAGCCGCGGUAAUACGUAUGGUGCAAGCGUUAUCCGGAUUUACUGGGUGUAAAGGGGGCGCAGACGGCAGCGCAAGCCAGGAGUGAAAGCCCGGGGCCCAACCCCGGGACUGCUCUUGGAACUGCGCGGCUGGAGUGCAGGAGGGGCAGGCGGAAUUCCUGGUGUAGCGGUGAAAUGCGUAGAUAUCAGGAGGAACACCGGUGGCGAAGGCGGCCUGCUGGACUGCAACUGACGUUGAGGCCCGAAAGCGUGGGGAGCAAACAGGAUUAGAUACCCCUGUA
rnacentral:rRNA from 1 species